GGAGGGAUCAUUGCGGAACGCGCCCCAGGCGCACCCAGAAACCCUUUGUGAACUUAUACCUUUUGUUGCCUCGGCGCUGCUGGUCUCUAGUAGGCCCCUCACUUCGGUGAGGAAAAGGCACGCCGGCGGCCAAAUCAACUCUGUUUUUACACUGAAACUCUGAGAAAAAACACAAAUGAAUCAAAACUUUCAACAACGGAUCUCUUGGUUCUGGCAUCGAUGAAGAACGCAGCGAAAUGCGAUAAGUAAUGUGAAUUGCAGAAUUCAGUGAAUCAUCGAAUCUUUGAACGCACAUUGCGCCCUCUGGUAUUCCGGAGGGCAUGCCUGUUCGAGCGUCAUUUCAACCCUCAAGCAUUGCUGGGUGUUGGGGCACUGCUUCUAACGAAGCAGGCCCUGAAAUCUAGUGGCGAGCUCGCCAGGACCCCGAGCGCAGUAGUUAAACCCUCGCUCUGGAAGGCCCUGGCGGUGCCCUGCCGUUAAACCCCCAACUUCUGAAAAUUUGACCUCGGAUCAGGUAGGAAUACCCGCUGAACUUAAGCAUAUCA
rnacentral:rRNA from 1 species